rnacentral:rRNA from 1 species
AUUGAACGCUGGCGGCAGGCCUAACACAUGCAAGUCGAGCGGAUGACGGGAGCUUGCUCCCGGAUUCAGCGGCGGACGGGUGAGUAAUGCCUAGGAAUCUGCCUGGUAGUGGGGGACAACGUUUCGAAAGGAACGCUAAUACCGCAUACGUCCUACGGGAGAAAGCAGGGGACCUUCGGGCCUUGCGCUAUCAGAUGAGCCUAGGUCGGAUUAGCUAGUUGGUGAGGUAAUGGCUCACCAGGGCGACGAUCCGUAACUGGUCUGAGAGGAUGAUCAGUCACACUGGAACUGAGACACGGUCCAGACUCCUACGGGAGGCAGCAGUGGGGAAUAUUGGACAAUGGGCGAAAGCCUGAUCCAGCCAUGCCGCGUGUGUGAAGAAGGUCUUCGGAUUGUAAAGCACUUUAAGUUGGGAGGAAGGGCAGUAAGCGAAUACCUUGCUGUUUUGACGUUACCGACAGAAUAAGCACCGGCUAACUCUGUGCCAGCCGCCGCAGUAACAC